CGAUGUGGGAAGGCCCAGACAGCCAGGAUGUUGGCUUAGAAGCAGCCAUCAUUUAAAGAAAGCGUAAUAGCUCACUGGUCGAGUCGGCCUGCGCGGAAGAUGUAACGGGGCUAAACUAUGCACCGAAGCUGCGGCAGCGACACUAUGUGUUGUUGGGUAGGGGAGCGUUCUGUAAGCCUGUGAAGGUGUGUCGUGAGGCAUGCUGGAGGUAUCAGAAGUGCGAAUGCUGACAUAAGUAACGAUAAAGCGGGUGAAAAGCCCGCUCGCCGGAAGACCAAGGGUUCCUGUCCAACGUUAAUCGGGGCAGGGUGAGUCGACCCCUAAGGCGAGGCCGAAAGGCGUAGUCGAUGGGAAACGGGUUAAUAUUCCCGUACUUGGUGUUACUGCGAAGGGGGGACGGAGAAGGCUAUGUUGGCCGGGCGACGGUUGUCCCGGUUUAAGCGUGUAGGUGUGUGUUCCAGGUAAAUCCGGUUCACUUUAACACUGAGGCGUGAUGACGAGGCACUACGGUGCUGAAGCAACAAAUGCCCUGCUUCCAGGAAAAGCCUCUAAGCAUCAGGUAACAUCAAAUCGUACCCCAAACCGACACAGGUGGUCAGGUAGAGAAUACCAAGGCGCUUGAGAGAACUCGGGUGAAGGAACUAGGCAAAAUGGUGCCGUAACUUCGGGAGAAGGCACGCUGACACGUAGGUGAAGUGAUUUACUCAUGGAGCUGAAGUCAGUCGAAGAUACCAGCUGGCUGCAACUGUUUAUUAAAAACACAGCACUGUGCAAACACGAAAGUGGACGUAUACGGUGUGACGCCUGCCCGGUGCCGGAAGGUUAAUUGAUGGGGUCAGCGCAAGCGAAGCUCCUGAUCGAAGCCCCGGUAAACGGCGGCCGUAACUAUAACGGUCCUAAGGUAGCGAAAUUCCUUGUCGGGUAAGUUCCGACCUGCACGAAUGGCGUAAUGAUGGCCAGGCUGUCUCCACCCGAGACUCAGUGAAAUUGAACUCGCUGUGAAGAUGCAGUGUACCCGCGGCAAGACGGAAAGACCCCGUGAACCUUUACUAUAGCUUGACACUGAACAUUGAGCCUUGAUGUGUAG
rnacentral:rRNA from 1 species